GACGAACCGUGCGAACGUUAUUCGGAAUCACUGGGCUUAAAGCGCGUGUAGGCGGAAGGGCACGUCUGUCGCUGAAAUCCCCCGGCUCAACCGGGGAACGGGCGCGGAUACGACUCUUCUGGAGGAACGUAGGGGGACCUGGAACUUCCGGUGGAGCGGUGAAAUGCGUUGAGAUCGGAAGGAACGCCCGUGGCGAAAGCGAGGUCCUGGACGUUUACUGACGCUGAGACGCGAAAAGCCAGGGGAGCGAACGGG
rnacentral:rRNA from 1 species